AACGAACGCUGGCGGCGUGCCUAACACAUGCAAGUCGAACGGAGUUGAGGGGCUUGCUCCUCAAUUUAGUGGCGCACGGGUGAGUAACGCGUAGAUAAUCUGCCUGAUGAUCUGGGAUAACACUUCGAAAGGGGUGCUAAUACCGGAUAAGCCCACGAUGUCUUUGGACGUUGCGGGAAAAGGGGGCGUUCGGUCGUCUGUCAUCAGAUGAGGUCUGCGUACC
rnacentral:rRNA from 1 species